CCUACGGGUGGCAGCAGUGGGGAAUAUUGGACAAUGGGCGAAAGCCUGAUCCAGCCAUGCCGCGUGUGUGAAGAAGGCCUUCGGGUUGUAAAGCACUUUCAGUGGGGAAGAAAGCCUUGGGGCUAAUACCCUCGAGGAAGGACAUCACCCACAGAAGAAGCACCGGCUAACUCCGUGCCAGCAGCCGCGGUAAUACGGAGGGUGCGAGCGUUAAUCGGAAUUACUGGGCGUAAAGCGCGCGUAGGCGGUCUGAUAAGCCGGUUGUGAAAGCCCCGGGCUCAACCUGGGAACGGCAUCCGGAACUGUCAGGCUAGAGUGCAGGAGAGGAAGGUAGAAUUUCCGGUGUAGCGGUGAAAUGCGUAGAGAUCGGGAGGAAUACCAGUGGCGAAGGCGGCCUUCUGGACUGACACUGACGCUGAGGUGCGAAAGCGUGGGUAGCAAACAGGAUUAGAUACCCUGGUAGUC
rnacentral:rRNA from 1 species